rnacentral:rRNA from 1 species
ACUCAAAGGAAUUGACGGGGACCCGCACAAGCGGUGGAUGAUGUGGAUUAAUUCGAUGCAACGCGAAGAACCUUACCUACCCUUGACAUGUCCGGAAGCUUGGAGAGAUUCGAGCGUGCCCGAAAGGGAGCCGGAACACAGGUGCUGCAUGGCUGUCGUCAGCUCGUGUCGUGAGAUGUUGGGUUAAGUCCCGCAACGAGCGCAACCCUUGUCAUUAGUUGCUACGAAAGGGCACUCUAAUGAGACUGCCGGUGACAAGCCGGAGGAAGGUGGGGAUGACGUCAAGUCCUCAUGGCCCUUAUGGGUAGGGCCUCACACGUCAUACAAUGGGCGGUACAAAGGGUAGCCAACCCGCGAGGGGGAGCCAAUCCUUGAAAGCCGUUCGUAGUCCGGAUCGCAGUCUGCAACUCGACUGCGUGAAGUCGGAAUCGCUAGUAAUCGCGGAUCAGCAUGUCGCGGUGAAUACGUUCCCGGGUCUUGCACACACCGCCCGU